GGGUAAGAAACGCAAUGAGGAAGAAUCAAACCAACCAAAUUUUAACAAGGAUUCAAAUGAGGAAGAGAUUAUGUCUAAUUGGAGAGAGAAGGAGAGAUUCAGAAUUAUCAUGGAAAGAAAGUCCUAUGGAGAUAAACAACACUUCUUACAAUAGAUAAAGAGCAAGAGAUCAUGCUAAGUGUACAUAACAGAAUUAAUAAAAGCUGAUGGCCGCCGAGGCGGCGGCGUGAGCGGCUCGGAGGACCCCGCGCCUGGGCAGCCCGCGCCGGAGCCGCCAGCGAGCCUGCGGCGCCAAGAGCCCUGGGCCCUGCGGCCACCGCCACCGCCGCUGUUGUUGCUGCUGCUGCUCUGCGGCUGCGGCGCUGCAGCGCCCCCGCAGUACCACUAGUAAGUGGUUUGAUGUCAGUAACAACCCCGAAGGGGUGAACUAUGUAAAGAUCACGGCGGAGUGCAACUUUACCAACACCAACAUCUCAAAGGGUUUCCAAUGCAUUUCAACAUCUCUUUACGUGUCCGAGCUGAGCUAGAAGAACCCGUUUCCACCUGGGUGACGGUACCUUGGUUCCAGCACCUUCGGAAUGUAUUUAAAGGACCCGGCUCAGCCUGUCUUAGACGCCUUGGACAAGGACAGCUCCCCAACGGAAGAUGCCUGGGACUCUGUGUCUGUCGUUGUGUUUCCAGAGAAGGAGUAAGAAGAUGUUCUCCAAAGCACUUUGAAGCAAAGCAUUGGCCUGCUCUACCAGCCUGCAGGAAGAGGACUGAGCUCAUGAAGCUGCGGAUGUCCCUGUCAGGACUUUACGGAGCCCACUGCUCCAUGUCGCUGUCCCAGAAAGGCCGGUGGCGCCUGGGGAGAAGCAGUAGGUCUCAUCGGGGAGACAAGCUUAUUUGUUUUUCUUUCAGAAUUUUCUAAAUCAUACACGUCGCUAGGAUGAUUCUACAGAGAUAUCUCAGAAUAAUGAAGAUUUCUCUUAAACACUAAACAAGCAUGUAAUUAUUUGUUAGCAAAAUGGCUUUGGCACACCUGUGAUAUUUUGUUCAUUGUCGGUUGGGCCAGGUAGUCCGGAGACUGAGUCCUCUCCUUGACUCUGACGAGUGAGCUGUGGACCCUCGGGCAGGUCACCUAAUCUGUCCCAGCCUGUCCCAACAAGGGACACUGAGCAGCCUCCCACAUCCAGUCUCCCAGCUUAAAACGUGAUUAAUCCUGUAAAUAUUUUCCUUGUAAUUUGUGUUUUUUUUUCAAGCUAGAAAUAAAAGACUAUGUAAUUGACUUUAAAAAAAGAAA
rnacentral:lncRNA from 1 species